AUCACUUCUUGGCCUUUUGGCUAAGAUCAAGUGUAAUAUCUGAGGCUCAGUAUACAGAUAAUGUCCUGGAAAAUGACUAACAGCUCCCAAGUUUUCUACCUUGAAAGUAGAAAAGUGAGGGCAUAGCUUUCUUCUAUCAUGUGAUACAGAAGAUAAAAGUGUCAAUUU
ensembl:snRNA U2 U2 spliceosomal RNA